AUAUCAUGUGCAACUUUCUUCCCUGUGAUUGGCUCCUCAUGCCAAACACUUACACAGCUCCUGAAAACAUCUCGCCCCAUAUCUCAAGUGUUCACUUCUUGCUGAGCACAAUAUGUGAAGAAAUCAACAAGAUGAACAAAGUAUCAAUUAGUGAAUGUUUUGAAUGACAAAAGAUGCUGAGAUAUUAUUAGCAGCACAUUAAGAUGUUGAAUAUCUCAACUUAAAUUAUACUUACGAUUGUAUAGUCAUGGCUAUCUUCUCUUUCUUGGCACCACUGUGGUUUGUGCUAGAUCCAGUUCUUCAUAAGUUCCUUCACAGUAUCCUGGUAAGAUUCACCUGUAAGACAUGACACAUCCAUGUUGAUCUUCCAACUCGCACAUAUACAAGUUUGUGAGCAGUGGAGGACUUGGAUAUGUGGUAGCUUACUUUAGAGAUGAACAAGAAGCUGGUAAAUGUCCUAAAGCAUCCCAAUCCUAGUCAGGUUCCUAGCUGUAAUACUGCACCAUGGUUUUUAUUAUUACGAAAGAAUUCUUGCAUCCCCAUGUGGCCGUG
rnacentral:lncRNA from 1 species